rnacentral:lncRNA from 1 species
AAAGAAUAAAAACAUUUAUUUUAAAAAUACCAUUUAGCAUCAAUUGCCCCAAGUUUGGCAGGCAUGAAGAGUGGGCAGUUCAUGUUUUAUUAGUAUAUAAAAUUGGCUUUACAGGAAGCAUUAUGGCAAAAAAAUGAAUACUUAUUAUGAAAACUGAAAAAGAGAAGUGAGUAGUAAGCUACUAUCAGAACGUUAAGGCUAAGAAAAUGUCACUAUGCAAUGAAAACCAUCUCCUCCUCUAAUAAGUACUAA